UUCCAGUUCCAGUCUCCUGCUGCACCUCCCAUGCUAAGGACACAAACCUACUGUUCCUCAGGAUGCCUGACAAGAGCCUGCAGACCUGUUAAGGCAUGGAGGCACUGACAGGACCUGCCCUCAGUGUUGUCUACCCAGACAGACCAUGGAAAAUGGCUGGACACGACAGGAGAAGGUCCUGAACAUGAGAGAGAGCAAGAAUGAGAAGCUGGUGAAAAUUGGAGAUAGCUCCAUGAGGAACAAUCAGAUUUCCCUGGUGGGGAGGAGAAAGCUACUGAUAUGAAAGCUUGUGGAAGGGCAAAGGUGAGGAGACAGUCCAACCAAAAGGUGAAGGACCAGCCAUUACAGCCAGCAGCAUGGGCCAGCAUCUCAGCUGCAAUGGAUGACAGAGUCUGUCAGUCAGCCCUUGGGGUACAGGUGCUUGCUCUUCCCAGCACACUGCCAGAAGUGCCCUGGCCAGACAGAGACUUUGGCAGCCCUCAGCCCUUUGCACAGCUGCAAGGAGGAAACAACAGAGCUUUCCCAGCCCCUGCAGCAGCCUACAUCACCCUCUGUGCAUUUCUUUUAGGUUUCUAGUCACAGAUCCCAUCAGAGCUAUGGAGAAACCUGGAGCUGCUGCGGGCAGUGGAAGUUUUGCUCUUGACCCGCCCAUCCACCUUUUGUCAUUACUGGUCUGUUUGUACCCUGGGAAGAAAAACUUCAAAGAACAACUGUUUACAGCUGGUGGUGUGAGAUUCCAUUAAUGUGUGCUGUGCUGGAGUUUGAAGCUCCCUGGCACACUUUAAAUUUCUAAUUGGCUGUUAUCUCUAAGGGGAACCUGACUGGGCAGCUGCAAUCUGAUGGCACUACCAUCAGGGAGACGAGGAAGGGCCAACUCUGCCUCUUGGUGUGAGAGUUUUGACUGUUUAGGAGAUGAUGAGAAGGAUGGGGAGGCUUCUUAAACUUUUCUCAGUAGCUCAUUUCAGUAAUUGAGACUGGUGCUAGCUGCAUGCUUAAGCAGACCAUCAAUCUCAGCUCUGUAUGCCACCCAAUCUCUGGAAAAAGGGGAGAAGAUGGGCUAGGCUGGAAUAAUAAAUCUGCCCUAAUCAUCAUGUUAAGGGCUAUCUUCAUGGGACUGGUGUUAUAAAUCUGGUUAUAAAGAAGAAACUAAAUAAGGAGCAUUGGGGGGAGUCUUAUCCAUGUCAGGAAGUAUUUUCUGAGUUGUCUCAGUAUGAGGCUAAAUGUAUCUGUUGAAACAUUUUAGUAGGCAGAAAAGUCAUUUUUUGACAAGAUGAAAAUUUUCCCACCCCAUUUGUGUUACUCUUUUAUUUUUACUUCAUAUGCUGUAUUGGGCAAUAAAGAUUUUCAGUCAAUUUAUUUCCAAAUUAGUUCUUUCUAACAUUUGCUCUCGGGGGGGCUCAUUCUUUCAGCUCUCUUGAUCCCCAGCUCGUGGAUGAGGGUCAAGGGAUAGCAGAGUCUUCAGCACUUCUCUGGAAGGUGGUUAAUCCCAUGCAAAAAAAGCAUUGCUUAAAAGCAACAGGGACCCCAGCGUAAAAAGAAUUAAUACUUAAAACAUCUGAGUUGUACUGACUGGAUGAGGUGAUGCCUUCUGCUCUCCAGGGACCACGUUAGAGCUCUGGCUAUGUCCAUCUCUGUGUGGUAGUCCACUGAACAGGAACCAGGAUAUCUUUUCAGGCCCUGCAGGCAUGGGGAUAGCAACCGCUGCACAGCCCAAAACCUGCUGUGGAUUAUCUUCCAGGUGCACCAAGGUGGGUGUGGCUGGGGUCCCUCAGUACCAGCUCUUCUCCAGCUCCUGGUCCUCCUACCCCCUGGAGUGACUUAGAGGAGAAAUGAGGACAAGCUAUUAGCUUCAUAAUAACUGUUCCCUUCACAUUCAUUGUUUUUAGACAUACACCAUUGGAUUUUUGUGUUGAGGGGGUUUGAAAAGCUAUUCACACGAAAGCAAGCAUCUGGAAUAAAAACAUCUCCAAAGAAUGCCUUUUGCAUGCUUCCCACUAAGACAGCAGGAUUUGUACUUAGCUGCAGGACCUGGCUGGCAUUGCCUCCAGCAGCAUCUGCCCCAGGUAGAUGCCUGGAGCAAGAGCUUCUGACUGACAGGAGCGGCCAGAAGAGCUCGAGACGGUGCUGUGACUGCAGAGCUGCUGGGUGAGGCUGAUGGGAGCUAUUUCCAUUGGGCAUGAAGGGGCAAUUUACUUUUUAAUUUUUUUUUUCAUAUUUUAGGCAAUAGAUAUGCCAGGAAAAGUAGCCUGAUUGCAUGAACCAGACUCAUCCCAGAGGAAUGGAAGGGGCAAAAGAGGUUUACUGUAUUGUGGAGCAGAAGUAGUAAACACAAGGGCAAGUGGGAUAUGUCAGAGAAAAAUCAACAAAACAUCAUAAAUUAAUGUUCUUGGGAGGCCUCUGGGUAAUUGGCAGCUUUACUCGAUCUAUAUUUUUUUGGAAAUGUAGUAAACAAAGUCCCUCUACAAAGAUCCCUCAUAAUAUCCAUCAAGGCUAAACUGGGUCAAGCACUUCACAUAUUCACAAUCAGUGGGGAGUAAGGGUCUGUUUUCAAAGAGCAAGAUCAUUGAAGAUGCCUUCCCUUCUCAUUGACCUGUGCUACCCAUCAUAUUCACGUGGACAUGAGGAAAAACUUGAGCAGUGGAAUUGCCAAGACUGCAGAUGAUACAGAAUUACCUAGGAUGGUGAUGGGGAUUCAGUGAAGAUUGGGGAAAAAGGUUUCCAGAGUAAGUUGUCUGCAAAGUGGCAAAGGAAAUCCCGUGCCAAAUGGAAAGAAACUGUAUCAUGGAAAAUAAACCUUACAAUACACAAAUUGUGCAUUACUGUUAACACUCACAAUGCAGAUUUAGAGUUAGUCUGGAGAGCAGCACUGACAGUGCUACCACCUUCCUCAACAUCAGGCAUCCUCCCUGCCAGUCAGUCUUGUAUUUUGAAACACCUGUGGUCUUACAAUAAAGCCAAAUUCCAAUCUGCAUGUGUUCUGACUCCCUAGCACAAAAUUCCUGACACUGUCCUCUUGCCUGUCUGAACAUCUUUGCAUCUGCUAAAAUUUUUAAGAUUUGGCCAUUUUUUCUUACAAUCCUGUGUCCCCAUUGAAUAGGUUAUUCAAAAGGCAAAGAAAAGACCAGGGGUAAGCAGCAUCCUGCCUUUUAUCAAAACCUUUCUUUUAUGUGGGAUUCUUGUAUACACCUCCUGAACAGUGUGGAAUUAAACAUCCCAUCUUACAGGUUGCCUUUCAUUUUCAUUUAAUUUACACGUGGUCCUACAGCUUCUCUUUUAUUUCCAGUGCAGUGUGUUCUGAAUACAUCAGUUUUAUUAGUAUGGCCUGCUCACAUAAUCUCACAGUCUGCUCAUCAUCUUUGUCCUAAAGAAUUUCAUGAUCACAGCCUGUUUCUUGCGGUACCGAUAGAAAACCCUCUUCAUCCUUUCUUUGAGAAAGGAUGCUUUGUUUUCCACCUUCUUCUUAAGAACUAAAGAAAAAAGAAAGGGAGAAAACCUACAAAUUCUCCUUAUGGCAUUCUCCUUUUCCAACAGUUCCAUCACUGUGUGCUGCAUUUGUUGUCUUUCUAAUGUAUCCCUGCAGCAGGAUGAUGCUUCUUCGCCAAAGUUUUGUCUUGUCUGUUCCCCACUGUUUAUACAGUUAUCAUUAAAUGUUCCUGUCAUAUCUUAACCUUGUUGGUUUUUUGUUUCAUCUUUCCCAGCUCUCUGUAACCCACUCUCACCUCAGCACACAGCCAUUAACAUACAGAGCACGGCUGCUGCUGUUGUUCCUCUCAUUAUUACCAUAAUGGCUCAGGCCAGAGGAGAGAAGCAGCUUUAGGCACUGUACAAAUAACAGACAAUCCCUGACAAAAAGAGAAAGCUCUAGUGUUGUUCAAAAUAAUAAUGAAAUCACUCCUGUGAGUAUCCCUGCUCUUCCUUUAAAAUAUUCAUUUUUAGCCAUUGGAAAGCUACUAUUAAAUGCAAUGUGUUUUCCCUCUAUUUUUUUGACAGAGUGUCCUGGGUAUAGAGGCAAGGGGGUAGAGCUUUUAGCCCUGUCUAUUCUAUACCAUGCACUCUCUUCAGAAGCAUUUUUAUUUGUUUGGUGGUGAAUACCCACCUUUUGCGGGUAAAAC
rnacentral:lncRNA from 13 species